rnacentral:sRNA from 1 species
GGUUAAAACAACAGCUUGGAGAGUUUAUCUAAGCACAACUCAGAGGGGGUUGGUAUCUGAAGAAAAGGGAGGUGCCUGUCUAUUGAAUAGGGACAGGAUCCCAGGAGGACACUCUCUCAGCUGGUUGAGGUGGUUAUUCUAAGGUCAUAAGCCCGAGACAGACAGUAUUUGCUAUGGGGCAGUCAGUACAGGGGCUGGCAAUGGAUGUGAGACAUGGUGGGUUGAUUCACUUAUUUGAUUUUGGCGAACAUGGUAGGUAUAUUGCUUGCUAAGGAAACGUCUUACUUUUCCAUCUCUGUUCAUCUUUCCUCUCUCCAACAUGGCUGAUCAACAGGUAAGUCAGACCCCAGACUCACUCUUCCUGUACUUGCUCUUUUCCAGGUAAGAGUCAGGACCAAAAGAUUUUUAUUUCUGAACAUGGGAUACACAAGUGUUGUUACAUACAUGCACGUGUGUGAUAUAUGAACGUGUGUAUAAUGCUCAUACAGGUGCCCCACACUCUUCAAGCUCCAGGAACGGAGUCACACAAGAGCAUAAAGUCCCCAGGACCACACCCUCCGCCCUUCCUACACAUAAGACAUGUUCUCUUGUUGAGUUUCGACGUGGUAUCAGAGAAGGGUACCUAGAAUUGCCUGAAAGUGUUCUCAAGUAUUUCUUUUCAGGUACAAGUUUGCACAAUGAGGGAUUUCUCUCAUGUUCGUUCAAACAAGUUUGCUGUGCAGUUCUGGCUGGCCUAGAGCUCACUAGAUAACCCAGGCUGGCCUGGAAUUUGUGACAAUCCUCCUGUCUCAGCCUCUCAAGUGUUGGGAUUAUAGACAUGAAUGACCACACCUGGUUCCCUUGUAUUCUUCAAAUAAAACAUGAGUCACAAGAGGCUGAAUGCAGAGGCACACAUGGGAAGGCAGGAGAAUUUCCUUAACUCGGACAGAACCGCUCGUGGAAGGCAGGAGGCCUCUGUCACAGACUUGCAGGAAUUGAAUCCACCUCAAAAUCAAGGGGCGAGUCUGUGUCACCAACAAAAUGGCACUGAAUUCAGAGAAUUCUUCCCUGGUGCUCUGGGGCUACCUGGAACCUAGGCGGCUGGCCCCUCCUUAUCAGCGACCGUUGCUUUUCUCCUCCAUGAAGGAAACAUUUGCUGGAAGCCUUUCAAGAGGGAUAGCUCCUUGACUGCAGAACUGGCCAGUGUCUCUGCAAGUUAUCUGAGAUCCCGGAGGAAAGGGGCCUUUGGCAGGGUGGCAGAGUGCCUAGCCCAGCCAGAGCUCAGCCUACCUUCUGUCCCUACUGGGCUAUGGGUGCCAUGUUUGCAGGUGUACCCACGUGGCUACUGAUUCGGGGAGCAGAACGAG